CUUAAGGGGGAUGUGCUGUGGUCCUACGUUGGUCUGAGUACAGAGAUGCUGGGUCUGGGUACCUCUGAGUGGUAUAAAACAAUCACAGGAAUCCAGCAGGUAAGCGUGGAUUUCACAUAGGUUUCGGCCUUUUCCAGUUCUUCUUUAGCUGGUGAAAGUGUUGGUGGGCUUUUCCAGCAAGGGCAGAAAAAAGGAUAUGGUCGUAUUUAUACAGUGCCAAAAUAUACUGCUCACAUAAAUGGUAGCUGCAUUUGAGGUAGGACCAGUGUUCUUGUGGUGGAUGCUGAAUUAUUUUUAAAUCUUAUUUUCUUGUGCCUGUCCAAAUAAAUGUAUGCACGAUUAUACAUAGUAUACCCCCCCUGGGGGGGAAAGGGGGGGUACACUAAGUAGGGGAGUUAGGUUAAAAAAAGUGUUGUUCCCGUAGUUGAGAACAACAAUGGCUUUUCAAGCCGUAGUCCUUGGGGUCUAUCCAAGCGGGAAUAUAUGACUUAUUUUGUGAUUUUUUUGGGAAUUUGUUUUAUGUUAGGGACUUCAGCUGUGGCAUCUAAUCCUUCCCCAUACUAUGGAGUGGUGGUUUGUUUCUUUGGUGUUGUUUAUGAUUUAUUUAGGGGGGAUGUUGGUGGUUUUUGUGUAUUCUGUUUCUUUAGCUGCGGAUCCGUACCCAGAGGCUUGGGGAAGUUGACGGGUGAUGGGGUAUGGGUUAGGUUUUGUUUUGGUAGUUUGUAUGGGAAUGGGUUUAGGGGGGUUUGUUGUUGGUUUUGUUUGUUGUGUUGGAGCUCGUGCAUGGGUUGUCUUGCGGUGCAGUUCGGGCAGUUAGGGGUUUCAGAAGGUAGUUUAUUUAAAAAUACCAGCUUUGGGAGCUGGGGAUGGGGGUUUAAAUCCCCUCUUUCUGAGUUACUCUAAGAAGGGCGAAGUCUUCAGUUUUUGGUUUACAAGACCAAUGUUUUGUGUUAAACUAUUAGAGUAUUUUAGUGAUUUAGUAUUUUGUUUUCUAGUAUUCCAAUUAUGGGGAAGAGGAUGAGUAGGAUAGUGAAGUAGGAGAGGGAUGCUAUUUGGCCGAUGAUGAUGAAUGGGUGUUCUACUGGUUGGCUGUCCAAAUCUUUCUAAAUGCCAACACUUUGCUGUCGGUGGUAUGUGGAAGAGCAAUGCCCCCAUCCCGGAGUGGCUCAGGAAUGGGGCACUGGCAGCACCCUGGCACUGCCCAGCAGCACACUGCCUGGGGGCUGCCUAGUUGUUCAGCUGGAGGUGCAGGAGGACUCUUUUAGCAAUAAUUAACGUGGUGCACUCAGGUAUUCUGGCAUGGGGAAAUUACGUUUUAACACUUCGCUUCAUUCCAUGCUGAAACAAAUCAAAGUCUGUUAUAACCCAUGGCAUCUUACUCAUUACUAUCUCAUUAACCUGCUAAUGGACACAUCACAGUGCUGUAAUUAUGCAAAAAUCAAGGGGAGAAGGAUGAUUCUGUAGAUUCUGUAGAUUUCUGAAAUCCACUGC
rnacentral:tRNA from 1 species